GACUUUGACAACAGGUUGCCAUUUUUCAUGUUUUAUAGUGCAACAGCAAGGAAUAAAAAGGAGCUAGGAAGGAUACUGUAGUUAUUCCCCCAAUAAUUAAAAUGCAGAAUUUAUUCCUUCUUCCAGUGAGCCUCAUGCAGAGAAUUAAAAACAAGAUUAAUGAGGUGCCUAAUGGUUUGUGUAGCCCCACUCAGAGAUAAAGCAACUGUUUGCUCCUCAUGUGAUUGGAUGUCUGAGAGCAGCCAGUUUCUCUCCAGAUGAUGUGCACUGCUACCAGUGACAACUGCAGAUGGAUGUUUAUGCUGUUUGCCAAGCUGUUGAGAAAAGCACUGACGCAGAUCUGAAAGAAAUGCAUUCAAACUUGCUGCCUCGAGUCAAGGAUUUGAGAACAAAGGCUCAGGGAAGCAGCAAUAAAUGAGAUAUGGGAGCGGAGAGUGGCUGUGCUCAGGAUUGCUGGACGUUGCUCUAAUAGUAAAGGUUGCCCUGAUUGAGCCAGGAUUAUAGCCCUUAGAUCGAGGUGACGUAAAGCUGCUGGUGACCCAACACACUGUCAUCCGGGGCCACAAUUCCGUGUGUGGCCUUGACAAGUAAUAUAACCCCUUUGCAAGUCUGCCUGCAUCCUUGACAAGUAAUAAAAACUUCUGUUAUAUAACCAUGGCAUGUGCUCCAACUGGAUGUGUUAUCUCUCCUGCGUGCGCUUUCUCAUUUUUUUUUUUAAGGACCACCCAGUUAAAGUAUUUGCUUCCAGAACACUUGGCCUCUGUGUCAAAACCACAUACUCUCCGCAGGCCUCCAAACACAGGCUCUCCGUUCCUGCUUCAGACACUGACGCUCUUUCCCAGCGCAGGCUGAGAGCAAGCAGCAGCCUAAGGAAGCAUCCUGCAAUAGCCGGGAUCGAAUGAGGCAACGGAGGAAUUAGAAAUGCCCGGCUCGGUCUAGCCAGCAUUUUGAUUGCACACGUUCUGUCUCUCCCACUUCCACGUUCGAGGUCUUUCCUUGCCAAUAUUCUGCUGUGAACCGCAGUCUGCGCAGACAGUUGGAUAUACCAUAAACAUCCCAGUAAUCAGGACAUAUUUUCCAACUGACCUGCAAGCGCCAGCCACAGCGUUUCUCGUAUGCAACAUCCACAGGCAGGAGUGUGGCAGAGCUUAAUUUAGUUACAUAACUCUCUCGAUGUGUCACUAUCAAAAGGUCACCGCAUCUCUCCUUACCCUGCUGGCUUGGUGCCUGAGAGAGUGGGGAGCAUUAUAUAACGAGGCGUUGUUAGGAUCUUUUUGUACUUGGCAGGGGAGCCAUACCUCCAAUUAUUAUUUCCUGCAAACAAACAGCUCGAGCUGCCCGUGCUUGCAGCUGUGAAGUGCCUCAGAAACCUUCAUACAGCGGCGUGCAUGUGCGAGGCUGGAGCGUAGCUGGUCCCGCAGAGGAGCUGUUUCUGCUGUCUGACUGCUGCCUGGCCCCUCCACGCCGGGCCCCAGCUCUGCCACUCCCACCACGUUCUCACAGGCUCAGACCUCUCCUCUGUAUUUUCCUUUCCUGAAGACUGUUGACAUCAACCCUUGAACCUGGAGAGAUGCAGAAAGAAGAGACAGUCACGUCAUGAGAGGCAGCACUGUGGCAGGGAAUAGGCAAGUAGUUUAUCAUGCACAAUAUAGUACCAUUCAUCUGUGAUCCUGAAAAGUCUUCAGCAAGCCUCAUAGGCACCCUGUCCCCCUUCUACAGGGGAGCAGGGAGCUGGAGGGGGGGACCGAUGUGCUGAGCUCGGUGCCCAAGUUCACCCAGGGCGAUGAGGCAGAGGCGGGAGUGGGUCCUGCUGUGGGAUGCGGUUGUGUGUCAUGUGCUGCCUCCAUGCCUUUUGCGAGUACAACUGCCAUCACGUGUUUUCCACAAUGUCGCACCUGCCUUUGGUCGCUUUUUAAUCUUCUGUGCUCCACAGCCAGGUAUUCUUCCUGCCCACUUCGUGGCAGAGCCUUUCCCUCCUGCCUUCCUGAACAGAUAAUUAACUAUCACUUGAACAAGAGCUGGAUUUCGGAGCAAGACAGGGACCAAAUUUAUUCCUGAAAUAAUUUUGUUGACUUAUGCAGUCGAGAAUUUUGCCUGAAAGUCAGGGAUCUGCUGUAUUUCCUCCCAGAGCAGCCUGUGAAAGGAACAAUGCUCUUUGUGGAUCUAAAAAUCAGAUCAGCCUGACGGAUUGGAGGCCGUGAAUAUGCCUGGAGGAAACAGGUGCAGGUGGUAAAGAAAGGGCCCAAAGAGACAGAAAAAUGGAAAACAUUUCAUACAUUCUCUGCAGCUGGUCCUCAGCUCUGCGCUGCUCGUUUCUCCCUCUCCACUGAUUCCAGAGGGAGCCUGGCCAUCCAUGCUGGAUGGCUAAAGCUGGCUAAGUCCCACGCAAAGCCUGCCUGGAAGCUGGUCAGAUUUCUCCAGCGAGAGCAAUGCAGAUGUAUAUCCUCCUGUUUCAGCGUAUCUUUGGUGGGAGUCAGUGGUUUGACAGUGACCGUCAUAGCUCUGUUGCUGCUAACCUCACCCUUUCUGCCCGCAGGCGCACACACCAGUUCCUGGAAGUGCUGGCUCUACUCCGAUGCUGCCCCGUGCUUGCUGGAGUAUGAACUCAUGCAGCCACAAGUGCUGCCUACUUCCGUAACAUUUCUACUGCUCUCGAUUCGUAUCACCUAACAGAGCACAGGACAGCAGCUCAUCCCAGCAACAUAACCACAGCAGCCAGAAUAGAGUUAUUGCAGACACAUUCCCAAAUCCCUGGGAGUGUGAGAUCCGACCUGCCUCUCGGGAGGAAAAAGCCAGCACAACACAAGCCCUCGGAUUGCUUUGUUCGGAGCAAGAAAAACAAACAUUUUACUUCUUAAUUAACAUCCUUCAACCCUCAAACAUGCCAAGCAAUUAUUCCCUCUAUAUGUCACUCACGCUAAUGACUAGUUAAUAAUAAAAACCAUGCUGGUCUGCAGCCUUCAAAGCCGGGAAGCAGAUUUUAGAGUUAAUCUCCUUUCACAACAAGCUUCAAAACAUGUCUGUGUUUAUUCUGGGACAAAACCAUCGGGAAUGAAUAGGCCCGAACAGGAUGAGAAAUUUUUUUCUGUAUAUGGUUUUUUUUUUUAUUGCUAUUAAGAAAAAUGAACAACAGAGGCAAGUUCUUUGAAAUGGUGGCUGGAAGGUGGCAGCAGGUAGGGCUUUGAGCAAGUUAGCCCGCACUAUUAAUGAAAGCAAAAGUCUUUCACCUGCAAAGCAGUGGUAAAAGGCUGUGCCAGUGUAACCCUGCCACAGGCUUUUCCUACCUUCUUUAACCUUUCACUGUUCCCUUUGGCUCAUUUGGAGCUGAGCUUUAAGCCAAAGGCUUUCCCACAAAACCACCUUCACAUCCAUAGACUCCCUGAGCAGCACUGAGGGCAGUUUUUCACAGUUCUGUGCCGGUGUAAUUUAGCAUAAGCAACACUUAUGCUUAAAAAGCCAAGCUUUUAUGCAUCCUCCUAGCCGCCAUAGCCACACGGGUUGUAAGCCCUUCUUCGGGAGCUGUGGUCCCCAUCGCCCUUCUUUGUAGCAGGAGGGAGCAUCCUCAGACUCCCCGGUCCAUCAGUUUCCCCAGUCUGGAUAGCCAAGCUCACCUGGUGCUCACGUGGGGAUGAGGCAGAUCCUUCCGGCCUGUGCUCCUGAGCCUCCCUCCCACGCAGAUGUGGAUACAGGGCAAGCGGGAGGCGAAGGGGCGCAUGCCUCAGUCUUGCUCCGGCAUGCAGUCAGGCUGUGGGCAGCUGAGAUCCGGUGCCAGAAGCUGGGAGGCUGCCCAGAGUGGACAGCAACGAGCAUCAAAGUGCUCUGAUUCACUGUGGGGAGAGGCCUCUUGCCGGUAAUUAUGUUCUUUCUUCAAGGAUUGCAGUGUUCCUUUCCCAGAUUUCCAUGCCCCCAUGCCUUGAAAAGGCAAUCCUUUCCCAGUGCAACAGACAAUGGAGAAAUGGGGAAACUUAGCCCAAAGCACUAGAGACAUCAAAGUGAGGGAGUUCUGUAAGUCAUGAUCUCUCUGCGAGAGAUUGAGGCUCAGCGAAAAAAAGGAAAAAUCCCUGCUCCAGAGUGAUGUGGCAACAUGAGCAAUAAGAGGAGAGGAGCAGUUUGGGCAGACAUGGAGCAAUUAUUAAACAUCUGUCUUUCCAAAUGAGGAAUCAGAUGUUCAAAGACAGUAGAUGAUUUGAAAAAGAGAAGGAAGUGAUUAGAAAUGAAAAAGAAGCAAUCACAGUGAACAAAAGAUCAGGUCUAGACAUGGUACUGCAGAAAGCAAGUGGGGAAGGAGAGAAAGGCCCAAACCAGCUUACCAGGAGAUGGUACCCCACAGCCUGGGGAAUGAACCAAAGCUUCAAUUCUAGUUUAGGCUGCCAAUGAAGGUGGCCUUUUCUCUGGCUCUUGACCAUAUCCUUAGGGCCACAGCCAACAGCUGUCUCAGUACAUAGCUCCAGUGCUUUCAGGUGGGAACUAGGCACAUAAAUACCUUGUUGAUUUGUCCUUUAGUCUUGCAGGGCCUCAGUACCUCUGCUAAGAAAGUGCUGCCUCCAUCUGUUACAGGGGAGUGAUGAGGACAGAGACUUUCCCAGCUGUGGGGUGUUCACACACUGUGUACCAGGUAUCUCCGACAGCUCCUUCGAUAGCCUAAUUGGGAGGGCUGGAAGAGAAUUAAUGUCACUCAUAGCUGACAAAUUUCCCAGUUCUGAGAAGUGUCUUACCUAGGGCUUCCAUCCACUACACGUGGAGCUGCUGGCAGGAGAACAAUAACCACCAUGAAAAUAUCAAUGCAGGUGUCACCAUCUCCUGUGAGAAACGUGUCCCACAUCUUAGAUUUUUCAGGAAUUGAUUGAAAAUAUAUUUGUGGGUUUUGUUUUAAUGGGAGUUGUCAUGACAACUGCUACAGCUACUCAGAAAAAAAAUAAGAAGGGGCUUACACUGUCACUGGGGCCAUCUGCCCCUUCCAUGGAGGGUCGUUGUAAAGCCAUGUACAAACCUCUCUGAGGCAAAUCAUCCUUUAAGCCUAUGAUGAUAAAAGUGCUUGGUACAAUUUAUCAAAAGGCUUCUCUCUUGAAUCACUGUUUCUUUUCUCUGCACUGACAUGAUAAUUUCCUCUAUAUUGGUGCAAAUUAAAUUCUAAUGAGAAAGCUUCG